GCGCUUCGUGCUGGUUGGCCCAAAAACGCACACUUUACCAAAACAGAUACCGCGUGUCUUAGCCUUGAAUCAGGACGCUUGAGGUGGCGCGCUCAACACCAAUGCUGCUGUCUGCUGUUCGGCGCCAAGCUUCGCCAGUCGCCACUCAGGCGAUGAAUUAUACAGCACACCCUGAAGAUGGUUAGGCAAGGAACGCCUGUCAGUCCUUUUUGGGCGAGGCCCCGGGCGCGAAGCGCCUUUCGGGGGGUAGGUUCACUGCUGUCAGUCAGUCCGUCAGUGUCAGUCCGUCAGUGUCAGUCCGUCAUGGUGUAACAUUUCAUCUUAAUCCGCCCCGAUUAAAAUUGCAUCUGAAAUCUAUUUUAAUUUUCUAUCGAUGAACCAAUGGAAUAAAUUCAGAUAAAUUUGUGAACGAAGUUAGCUUCCUAACAUCAUAUAUCGCCCCGCUUUAAAUUGCUUCGGAAAGCUAUUCUAAAUCUUAUUGAUAGACCAAGGGAAUGAAUUCAGAUAUAUCUGUGGGCGAAAAUGGCUUUCCAGGGUGAGAUCAAUUUCCAUAUCCCACUCCGCUAAAGAUUGCGCGUAAAAGCUACAUCAAUUCUUUAUCAGUUGGCCAAAGGAGAACAUUCAAAUACAUCGGAGCGCGAAGAUACCUUUCGAGUUUGAUUUCCCCUCACGCCGCAGCCCUUGCCUCUGACGUCGUUGCAU
rnacentral:lncRNA from 1 species